GGGGAUAUGGCUCACUGGUAGAGCACUUGGCUAGCAUGCAAGAGGCUCUGGAUUCAAUUCCCAAUACUGCAA
rnacentral:tRNA from 1 species